ACCAUUCCUUUCUUUUACAGGUCCAGGUUAUUGAAGAAGCUGUCCGGUAUAUCGAUGAACUGCAUAAAACGUUACUAGAACGACUUCGAGAAAAACAUGGUUGUCAGGCGGUGGGUAUCGCCGAGGAGACGGUGAAGAACUUCGUGUACCAGAUGAUGCCACAGUCUAUGCAUCUUCAGUCCCAGCCGACGGUGAACUUCGAGAAGCAGCAGAAGAGAGCCAGCUUCCUGGCCAAGAGGAGGAGAAGAGACAACUAGCCUUACAGAUCAUCUCAUGUGUAAAUAUUCAUCCUCGUCUGUGAUAUCGAGUUAUGGUGCUCUUUACGGAGGCUACACAUCAUUACAGAGACUACCUAGCAACACCACUCUAUCUAAACCGACUUACUCCUAACCCCACCGUCCAUCUACGUAAACACUGCCGCACGCUUUGGACCAGUCUAGCCCUGACGCUCAACAGUGAACCGGGUACUGGCACGGAACCAACUUCCUGUUAAAAUUCCGGUCUACAUGCUGAAGAAUGCAAACGUCAUAUAAGGAGGUUCAAAAUGAAUGACACCAUUGACAGACAGACGGACGGACAGCUAGAUGCGAGGCAGUUAAUCAAUAUCAUGGAUUAAUAUAUUUCGUAUUCAGAUCAAUUUAGGCUAGCAGCCAGUUUUGCUUAUUUACUAAUUUCUAUAUUAGUACCAAUAUUACUAUAACCAGCUGUCAUUUUUGGUAUUUUUAUAUUCUAUAGUAAUAAUCAUUUUUUUUUAGAAAUUCACAUUUCACUCCAAAAUCAUUUCUUUCUUUAAAAUGUACAAAUGGUGGCAUCUAUUUCCGUUUGAUUCUUGAACUAGCUCAAUAUGAUAUUUCAACCAAAAAAAAAUGACAAAUUAAAAAAAAAAAAACCAGAAUAAAAAAACUGAACACCAAAAAGAAUGGCUAAUACAAUUUUCAGAUGUAAUAUUAAAUUUAGUUUUUAAAUGCAAUUCAAUAAACCGUUUAUCAUUUCACAGAAUUAAGCAUUUGUCAUCAAAUAAACCUACUAUAGUCCGUCCCAUCAUUCUAUAAAACUGUUUUUUGUAAACAAUUUCAGUUUGGUUUGAUAUAAGAAGAAAAGUAAAAGUGUUUUGGAAAUAACAAAAAAUUACUAUUUUUGUAUGCGAACAUACAAAUCAGUCGCCUCAGAAAUAAAUAAUUUGUAAUAAAUUCUAUAGCAUGAAAAAGAGCGUUUACUGUGGGACGGACUAUAGUAUUCUAAUAAUAAACUGACCAUAAACCCUGAUUUUGCUAUUCUUUUGGUGUUCAUUCUAUAAUAAUUACAUGUACAUGUCACUGACUGUUUCAUGGUGGGGGAGUCAUUACUAUCUUUCAUAAAAUCAUAUCUGAGCAUGGAAAAUGAUACAUAUUAUAAAAGUUUCCUUUUUCAUGUUUGUAUUUUUUGCACAUUCCACUUUUUAUCUUAUCUUUGGAAGUUACAUCUUCGGUCGGUUACUAUUAAUAUUAAUACUGUUCAUCUGUAGCUAUAACACGUACCCUUAAUUGGCUGUACAGACCACGUUGUUGCUUACUUAUAAAUAUUUCUAAUGAAAUAUACACUUUUCAGACCAAUACGAAAUCCGUAAGAAGUUUGGGCUGCAUAAAACUCCCAUUAGAUAAUCUCUGAAUAUUAACUGAUCUUGCUUGGUCCUGUUUGAUAAAGGAAAGUUGGAAGCAUAUUUUUUUAUUAACAUCCAUCUCCAAUAAAAUAAAUUACCUUUGAAAAAACAACAACAUGUCUUUAUAAUAUUUGCGAUGCAUUCACCAAUGUCACCAUGAAUAUAUUAAUUCGAGUCUGUCACCUCUUCCUAUACCAUUUAUUAACGAAAUUAAAUUAUCCUUUAAUGGCAUUCAAAGCUAAACCUCUGUUCGUCUUUGAGAGUUACGUCCCUUGAAAAAUGAACUCCUUUGAAAAAAAAAAAAAAUCUGACAAGGUAAAAUGCAUUUCGUAUAAGGUUAGUGGGUUUGUCGGACAUUCGCGUUGAUAUACAUGUUUGUGUUCUUUAAUUUUUUUUAGGAAAGAUCAAAGUUCAUGUUCAUAUUUGGGUGGAGAUGACUAUGUUAGUCAAGAUAAAGUGCAGUACAAUUCCACAUCCUGUUUCAGUAUAUUCCUCUCAUACGAUACGAUUAUUAUUUCACACAGUGUUCAUUUGUCUAUUGUUAUGUUGUUAUACUCUGUACCUUGCUUUGUGUAUAGUAGUGUUAUUCCAUCAUCAUUUUUUUGUUGUUUUAUAUUGUAUUGAAUUUAUUUGAAUUAAAUUGUUGCUUAUAAACUGUUA